GAUUUGCAAAAGUUUGGAUGUGCACUGCUCGCCAAGCCAGACGCAUGCCCACUCAGGCCCUGGGGCAUCACCACUUUCUGUGGGAUCAGCACCCAGAGAGCGGCGGCAGCCCCUACCGCGGCCGGGCCUGCUAGCAGGGCUCGCGCGCGCCCCACAGCCAGCCCCAGCGGCCGCGCCGCCCAGUCAAGGGGCGCAGGGGCCGCCUCCAGGGUCCCCGGGCAGGCCCGCCGCGCGCAGGGAAGGAGGACCCGCUUCCUAAUCCCACACUGGGGCGGGCCGCUGCGGUUGCUGAGCGCGCCCUCCCCCACCCCCGGCUCGCGGGCGGGACGCCGUGGCUGAGGCUGCCGGUCGCCGCGGAGGCUGCCCCGCGCCCUCAUCGCCCGCCCCGGGAUCAGUGCGUUGUGAGCUGAACGAAGGCAGAAAUUGUUUCGACUAGUUCACUGUUGAAUUACCAGACAUGGCAGAGGGAUGCAGGAACAGUGUAGCUGUGGGCAGCGGUGAAGCAAGUCAUGUUUGUAGUUAUGCUGCUGACGUCACUAGGAAGAAUGCAAGGAAAGCUGGACAUUCUCUGGAAUGUUGGGAACAUGGCUCCUUGGAGGUGCCACAGUUACACUCGACCUACUGCAAUCAGUUCCUCCCCAGCAUCCCGGCCUGCCUCUCAUCUCUCUCUGAAACUCACUCGCACACCGAUGCCUGGGGCUUGUGAUUUCCCUCGCCCACCCUGAACGGAUGGAUGCGAUUAGGCAAAUAUGGCGGGGGACAAAGUGGCUGGAGGUGAGGACAGUCUCCCUCUUGUGCUUUCUCUUGAGACAGGACUUGUUCUGGGGUGCAAGUUUCCUUGACGCACUCAUGAAGACCUGCCAUCAUGAAGCGGAAGGAAUCUAGCUCUGCACUGGACAGAGCUGACUUUUACCCCUGGCUUGAGACCGGAUCACACAUGGUUAGUGCUCAAGAUGUGGUAGCCAUUUAAGUAUUGGGUGCUCACCGGGUAUGCGCAGAGGAGUCCGUGCCUCCUGCGUCAGUGACAUCACACUGGGUGGAAAUGGCUUGUUCACUUCCCUCUUUCCUCUACUAGACUGUAACAUCCUUGUAGGCCUAGGGAAAUGGUUUCCAGGUCCCAUGAUAAGCUCACAUUGGUUGAGUGCCUGAGGUCAAGCACUAAAUGCUUUACAUGGAUUACUUCAUUUAAUUUUCAAAACCCCGUGGAGUUACAAACUACUGUUUUCUGCAUUUAUAGCUGAAGAUACGGAGCCGCCAAAAGCUUCCGUAACUCUCCCAAUGUGAUGUAUCUAGUUAAGUGGUGGAGAGAGUGUUUAAAUACAGCUGGUCAGGUUCCGGAAGCUGUGCGCUUUACUGCUGUACACACGGCCUCAGUGCUCACUCUCAGUAGAUUUUCCUCAUUUUUCUCCAGCUACACUCAUUAUCACCGUGGAACAUGUCAUCCCCAUUGUCUCCGCCUGUGUUUGUGGAGCUCUGUUUACUCUGUGAUUCUCACUGUGCCAGCCGCACACAAUGCCUCAUGUAAUCACAUGCUUUACAGUUGCUUCUCCAUUUGUCUAGCACUGGCUUUCGCAUAGUAGGUUUCUGUACCAAUUAUGCUCUCUCACAAAACAUCUCUUGGUUCCAUUGUCAGACCGGACUCUAGACGGAGUGGAUCACUGGGCAGACCCUUUUAUGUUUUUGUGUUCUUAAUGACAACCAUCUGUUUCCUAAAGCAAUUGAAAUCUUCAGUUAUUAGCGUAAAGGAAGCAUGUGGACUCUAGGCACAGGCCUCACACCGCUGUUACAUGCCUGGGGAAUCAGCUACCACUGAAGUUAGGCCUGGCUACCUUUCUCAGACUCUGGGUGAAACCGGGGUUCCUUUCAAGAUGAGAUGCACAGGCCCCGUAUGUUAAAAAAAAAACAAAACAAAAACAUGUAAACUGUACAUACAAAAGGGUAUUCAAUAUCUUUGGUGUUAAAUAGAAUGAAUACUUACGUAUAGCCAUCGCCCCAUUCAACAGAAUAUUAUCAGGUUCUACCGAGUCCUCCAUGUGCCCCCUCCCCAGUUGCAACCCUCUCCCAACACCCCCAACAUGCUUUUCAUUAUACAAAGAGUAUGAGUUGUUUGAGAGCACUAUGUUUCGGAUGAGUAAGUCCCAGGUACUUUGUUGUGAAAGGUGCUAUAGCAGCAAAUGGGUAUCGGUAUUUGGAGGUUUCACAUCCUAGUCACACUGAUGUUUUCAGUGAGGUGUUUCUAGCUUCACGACCACUGCAGCAUUAACGGUGUGCUGAGAACUGACGUGUCAGCAAAUUGUGGUCAACGUGCACAAUUAAUUUUUGCCACAGUUGCGGACAUGUCCUUUUUUGGCAAUGGCUGUCAAAGAUGAGGCUGAGCACCGCUGCCGAUGGUGAAGAGCAGGAUUCCACCUGCAAGGGGAAGGAGGGUGUAUACCAUCAAGCCGGCAUCCAAGAAAAAUUGUUUGACAACAUGCAAGAACUUUGCUGUGAAACUGUGAGAACGUGUGCGAGAACUUGGUCGUGGCCGCAGAAUGUUCUACCCAAACAGGAAUACUGGGGGAAUGUUAGUGUGCCAACCCCUGAAGAAUUCACUUUACAGGAGAGCCCCAAGUUCCAGUAUUUAAAAAUGUGUCUCGGGAUGCCUGGGUGGCUCAGUGGGUUAAGCGUCCUCCUUCAGCUCAGGUCAUGAUCCCGGAGUCCUGGGAUCGAGCCCUGUGUCAGGCUCCCUGCUCAGCGGGGAGUCUGCUUCUCCCUCUCCCUCUGCUGCUUCCCUGGCCUGGGCUCGCUCUGUCAAAUAAAUAAAUAAAAUCUUAAAGAAAAAGUGUCUCAAACACCAAAAAAGUGACAACCAUUACUCCAGCCAGCAGAUUAUUUCUGAAGUGGUUUUAACGAGUUUUCAUCAUUUAUUCCCUGCCACUAAUGAAUGGACCCUUUGAAAAAACUUCACUGUCUGCUCCUUCCCACCAUUACUGUGAAUUAGAAACACUCAUGUCAGUCCAGGGCUGGAGGAGAUGAAAUGCAAUUCUACUACAGAUUUGGUAAUGUUUGUAUGCAACAGCUGAAAGACCCCAAAAAUUGGACAUAAUUUUCAGUGCUAUUCAGUGUGGGGGAAGAUGAAGUUAAACAACAAAAACAAAAACCAAAACAAAGAAACUUGGAGCUUUAAGGGAAAUUGCUUUCAGGACUUGGGGGAAAAAAAAGACAUGUUUGAGGCCAUGCGGCAGAAACCCUUGGAGAGAUGCCCAGAAAAGUAGUAUUCCCAUCACUCCUCUAUCCAUCUUUUCUAGCCUAAAAAAGGCAUGGCUUCCUAUUCUAGAACUAGAAUGUGUGCUCUUCAUGCUUUUGGGAUUUGCUGAAGACAGUGUGGCUACAACUAAAUGACUUGGAUAUUUUCACCUUUAUAAGAUGCAGUAAGAGUGGCAGCCUAAAUGAUACGUGAGUCACAGGUUAACUUCUAUGCUAAAACAUGUUCUUUAGGAUGAGUUUGUAUCUCAGGAAACAAAUAUGGAAGAUCUUC